rnacentral:rRNA from 1 species
GACGAACGCUGGCGGCGUGCUUAACACAUGCAAGUCGAGCGGUAAGGCCCUUUCGGGGUACGACGAGCGGCGAACGGGUGAGUAACACGUGGGUGACCUGCCCUCAGCUCUGGGAUAAGCCUGGGAAACCGGGUCUAAUACCGGAUAUGACUCCAUGACGCAUGUUGUGGGGUGGAAAGCCUUGUGCGGCUGAGGAUGGGCCCGCGGCCUAUCAGCUUGUUGGUGGGGUGAUGGCCUACCAAGGCGGACGACGGGUAGCCGGCCUGAGAGGGCGACCGGCCACACUGGGACUGAGACACGGCCCAGACUCCUACGGGAGGCAGCAGUGGGGAAUCUUGCGCAAUGGGCGAAAGCCUGACGCAGCGACG